GACGAACGCUGGCGGCGUGCUUAACACAUGCAAGUCGAACGGGAAGGCCCUGCUUUUGGGGGGUGCUCGAGUUGCGAACGGGUGAGUAACACGUGAGUAACCUGUCCUUGACUUUGGGGUAACUUCAGGAAACUGGAGCUAAUACCGGAUAGGAGCUCCUGCUGCAUGGUGGGGGUUGGAAAGUUUAGGCGGUUGGGGAUGGACUCGCGGCUUAUGAGCUUGUUGGUGGGGUAGUGGAUUACCAAGGCUUUGACUGGUAGCCGGGCUGCGAGGGUGAGCGGCCAAAUCGGGACUGGACUACGGCCCAGACUACUACGCGAGGCAGCAGUGGGGUAUAUAGCACAAUGGGAGGAAGCAUGAUGCAGUAAAGCAGCGUGCGGGAUGACGGCAUUCGCGUUGUAAACCGCUUUCGUCUGUGACGAGGCGUGAGUGACGGUAAUGGGUAAAGAAGCACCGGCUAACUACGUG
rnacentral:rRNA from 1 species